ensembl:lncRNA FIRRE firre intergenic repeating RNA element
AGACAUGGAUCCCUGAGGUCGGUCCCCAAUACGACAAGACAAUUUGAUAUCAUAAUAGAACACUGCAGAAACAAUGCUGAGUGAAGAAGAGUAGAAAUGGGAAGACUUGGUUGAGCGGAAACUGAGUUCUUGAAAAGAGGAGAUGCUUGAUGAGGGCAUGGAUCCCUGAGGUCUGCCCCAGUACUAUAAGACAAUUUGAUGUAAGAAAACACAGCAGAUAUAAUACUGAGUGAAGAAGAGUAUAAAUGAGAAGAUUGGUUGUGCAGAUACUGAGUUCAUGAAAAGAGGAGAUGAUUGAUGAGGCCAGGUGCGGUGACUCAUGCCUGUAAUCCCUGCACUUUGGGAGGCUGCGGCGGGCGGAUCACCUGAGGUCAGGAGUUCGAGACCAGCCUGGGAGACAGAGCAUGGAAACCUAAGGUCUGUACCCAAAACUACAGGACUAUUUGACAUCAUAAUAAAACACUGCAGAUAUGAUGCUGAGUAAGAGUAGAAAUGGGAAGACUUGGUUGUGCAGUAACUGAGUUCUUGAAAAGAGGAGAUGCUUGAUGAGGGCAUGGAUCACUAAGGUCUGUUCCCAAUACAAGAAGACUCUUUGACAUCAUAAUAAAAUACUGCAGAUACGAUGCUGAGUGAAAAAGAGUAGAAAUGGGAAGACUUGGUUGUGCAGAAACUGAGUUCUUAAAGAGAGGAGAUACUUUAUGAGGGUGAGUGGAUAACCUCUCAGUUUAAUAUCCAAUGGAAACCAAAAGCAAA